UCCUCCCAGGCUGGCCACUACUCCUGGCCUUCUCCAGCUGUGAACAGUUCAUCAGAGCAGGAGCCCCAGAGGCAGCUUCCGGAGGUGCUAAGUGGCACCUGGGAACAACCUCGAGUUGACGGGCUGCCUGUGGUCACCGUCAUUGUCGCUGUCUUUGUUCUGCUGGCAGUCUGCAUCAUAGUGGCAGUCCAUUUUGGGCCAAGGCUGCACCAGGGCCAUGCCACUCUCCCUACAGAGCCACCGACCCCAAAGCCAGAUGGUGGCAUCUACCUCAUCCACUGGCGGGUGCUGGGCCCCCAAGACAGUCCUGAAGAAGCACCACCGGGCCCUCUUGUCCCUGGCUCCUGCCCUGCGCCAGAUGGACCCAGGCCCAGCAUCGAUGAAGUCACUUGUCUGUAG
rnacentral:lncRNA from 1 species